rnacentral:sRNA from 1 species
UGGCAGGAAAAAGAUGGUUUGCUAGACAGGCUCAAGCGUGAAUAAGUUAAAAAAAACGCCGGAUUAACCGGCGUUGAUUU